GGGCGAAUGGUCUAGUGGUAUGACGCUUUCUUAGCAAGCGCAAUCCAAGUGAUUGCCUGCCUUCCUUUGGAAGAGGUCCGGGGUUCAAUUCCCCGUUUGUCCA
rnacentral:tRNA from 1 species